ensembl:lncRNA
GAUCGCUUGCCUGUGACCUCCUUUUUGGUCACCUGACUUCCUGUUGGUGUUGCUGAGAUUAGUUGCGGGUUACUUUUCUGAAGCCUCCAUCGCAGCUGGUAGGUGUUUACUCAUUGUAGUGUAUAUAUUACUUUGCUUGAUGGUAAACAGCUAUUGUUUGUAGGUCGUAGCUGUAGAAGCCUCCUCUGAGCCAUUCUGCUUACGUUUUAUGACACGGCUUACUUGAUGCGGAGUGCUGACGUGGAGGAGACUAGGGUGCCUUGGUGGUGGGAUCCUCUGAGUGUACACACCUGCCUUGUUUAAUUUAUUAGUGAUAAAAGCAAAGCAGCAGCUACUUUGGUGUGGGAUUCCACAGCUGUGUUACAGAGAUGGAGGAAGAGUUACAGGAACUCAGGGACUUGAUCGCGCAGCUGAAAGCAGACAAUGAGAGGCUGCGUCAGGAGAGGGCUGUUGGGUCAGAUGCGGAGUGCUGACGUGGAGGAGACUAGGGUGCCUUGGUGGUGGGAUCCUCUGAGUGUACACACCUGCCUUGUUUAAUUUAUUAGUGUGAGUGUGCUGCACUUGUGUCUUGGUGUAUUUUCUUUUUUUU